rnacentral:rRNA from 1 species
GACGAACGCUGGCGGCAUGCCUAACACAUGCAAGUCGAGCGAGCAGAUCCCUUCGGGGUGAAGCUAGCGGCGGACGGGUGAGUAACACGUGGGCAACCUGCCUCAUAGAGGGGAAUAGCCUUCCGAAAGGAAGAUUAAUACCGCAUAAGAUUGUAGCUUCGCAUGAAGCAGCAAUUAAAGGAGCAAUCCGCUAUGAGAUGGGCCCGCGGCGCAUUAGCUAGUUGGUGAGGUAACGGCUCACCAAGGCGACGAUGCGUAGCCGACCUGAGAGGGUGAGCGGCCACAUUGGGACUGAGACACGGCCCAGACUCCUACGGGAGGCAGCAGUGGGGAAUAUUGCACAAUGGGGGAAACCCUGAUGCAGCAAUGCCGCGUGAGUGAUGACGGCCUUCGGGUGUAAAGCUCUGUCUUCGGGGACGAUAAUGACGGUACCCGAGGAGGAAGCCACGGCUAACUACGUGCCAGCAGCCGCCGCAG